rnacentral:rRNA from 1 species
AGAGUUUGAUCCUGGCUCAGGACGAACGCUGGCGGCGCGCCUAACACAUGCAAGUCGAACGAGAGAUGAAGAGCUUGCUCUUCAGAUCGAGUGGCGAACGGGUGAGUAACGCGUGAGGAACCUGCCUCAAAGAGGGGGACAACAGUUGGAAACGACUGCUAAUACCGCAUAAGCCCACGGCUCGGCAUCGAGCAGAGGGAAAAGGAGCAAUCCGCUUUGAGAUGGCCUCGCGUCCGAUUAGCUAGUUGGUGAGGUAACGGCCCACCAAGGCGACGAUCGGUAGCCGGACUGAGAGGUUGAACGGCCACAUUGGGACUGAGACACGGCCCAGACUCCUACGGGAGGCAGCAGUGGGGAAUAUUGCACAAUGGGGGAAACCCUGAUGCAGCGACGCCGCGUGGAGGAAGAAGGUCUUCGGAUUGUAAACUCCUGUUGUUGAGGAAGAUAAUGACGGUACUCAACAAGGAAGUGACGGCUAACUACGUGCCAGCAGCCGCGGUAAAACGUAGGUCACAAGCGUUGUCCGGAAUUACUGGGUGUAAAGGGAGCGCAGGCGGGAGAACAAGUUGGAAGUGAAAUCCAUGGGCUCAACCCAUGAACUGCUUUCAAAACUGUUUUUCUUGAGUAGUGCAGAGGUAGGCGGAAUUCCCGGUGUAGCGGUGGAAUGCGUAGAUAUCGGGAGGAACACCAGUGGCGAAGGCGGCCUACUGGGCACCAACUGACGCUGAGGCUCGAAAGUGUGGGUAGCAAACAGGAUUAGAUACCCUGGUAGUCCACACCGUAAACGAUGAUUACUAGGUGUUGGAGGAUUGACCCCUUCAGUGCCGCAGUUAACACAAUAAGUAAUCCACCUGGGGAGUACGACCGCAAGGUUGAAACUCAAAGGAAUUGACGGGGGCCCGCACAAGCAGUGGAGUAUGUGGUUUAAUUCGACGCAACGCGAAGAACCUUACCAAGUCUUGACAU